rnacentral:rRNA from 1 species
GACGAACGCUGGCGGCGUGCCUAAUACAUGCAAGUUGAGCGAUGAAGAUUGGUGCUUGCCCCAAUUUGAAGAGCAGCGAACGGGUGAGUAACGCGUGGGGAAUCUGCCUUUGAGCGGGGGACAACAUUUGGAAACGAAUGCUAAUACCGCAUAACAACUUUAAACAUAAGUUUUAAGUUUGAAAGAUGCAAUUGCAUCACUCAAAGAUGAUCCCGCGUUGUAUUAGCUAGUUGGUGAGGUAAAGGCUCACCAAGGCGAUGAUACAUAGCCGACCUGAGAGGGUGAUCGGCCACAUUGGGACUGAGACACGGCCCAAACUCCUACGGGAGGCAGCAGUAGGGAAUCUUCGGCAAUGGACGAAAGUCUGACCGAGCAACGCCGCGUGAGUGGAGAAGGUUUUCGGAUCGUAAAACUCUGUUGGUAGAGAAGAACGUUGGUGAGAGUGGAAAGCUCAUCAAGUGACGGUAACUACCCAGAAAGGGACGGCUAACUACGUG